GACGAACGCUGGCGGCGUGCCUAAUACAUGCAAGUCGAGCGAGCGGAACUAACAGAUUUACUUCGGUAAUGACGUUAGGAAAGCGAGCGGCGGAUGGGUGAGUAACACGUGGGGAACCUGCCCCAUAGUCUGGGAUACCACUUGGAAACAGGUGCUAAUACCGGAUAAGAAAGCAGAUCGCAUGAUCAGCUUUUAAAAGGCGGCGUAAGCUGUCGCUAUGGGAUGGCCGCGCGGUGCAUUAGCUAGUUGGUAAGGUAAAGGCUUACCAAGGCGAUGAUGCAUAGCCGAGUUGAGAGGCUGAUCGGCCACAUUGGGACUGAGACACGGCCCAAACUCCUACGGGAGGCAGCAGUAGGGAAUCUUCCACAAUGGACGCAAGUCUGAUGGAGCAACGCCGCGUGAGUGAAGAAGGUUUUCGGAUCGUAAAGCUCUGUUGUUGGUGAAGAAGGAUAGAGGUAGUAACUGGCCUUUAUUUGACGGUAAUCAACCAGAAAGUCACGGCUAACUACGUG
rnacentral:rRNA from 1 species